CAGUCGCCGCGGUAAUACGAAGGGGGCUAGCGUUGCUCGGAAUGACUGGGCGUAAAGGGCGCGUAGGCGGCGGCCAAAGUCAGGCGUGAAAUUCCCGGGCUCAACCUGGGGGCUGCGUUUGAUACUUGGUUGCUUGAGUGGGGAAGAGGGUCGUGGAAUUCCCAGUGUAGAGGUGAAAUUCGUAGAUAUUGGGAAGAACACCGGUGGCGAAGGCGGCAACCUGGUCCAUGACUGACGCUGAGGCGCGAAAGCGUGGGGAGCAAACAGGAUUAGAUACCCCUGUAGUCCCUGUCUCUUAUAC
rnacentral:rRNA from 1 species